rnacentral:rRNA from 1 species
AACGAACGCUGGCGGCAUGCCUAACACAUGCAAGUCGAACGAGACCUUCGGGUCUAGUGGCGCACGGGUGCGUAACGCGUGGGAACCUGCCCUUAGGUUCGGAAUAACUCCCCGAAAGGGGUGCUAAUACCGGAUAAUGUCUUCGGACCAAAGAUCUAUCGCCUUUGGAUGGGCCCGCGUUGGGUUAGCUAGUUGGUAGGGUAACAGCCUACCAAGGCGACGAUCCAUAGCUGGUCUGAGAGGAUGACCAGCCACACUGGAACUGAGACACGGCCCAGACUCCUACGCGACGCAGCAGUGGGGAAUAUUGGACGAGGGGCGAAAGCCUGAUCCAGCAAUGCCGCGUGAGUGAUGAAGGCCUUAGGGUUGUAAAGCUCUUUUACCCGGGAUGAUAAUGACAGUACCGGGAGAAUAAGCUCCGGCUAACUCCGUG